ACGUGGUAUCCUGUCUGAAUAUGGGGGGACCAUCCUCCAAGGCUAAAUACUCCUGACUGACCGAUAGUGAACCAGUACCGUGAGGGAAAGGCGAAAAGAACCCCGGCGAGGGGAGUGAAAAAGAACCUGAAACCGUGUACGUACAAGCAGUGGGAGCACGCUUCGGCGUGUGACUGCGUACCUUUUGUAUAAUGGGUCAGCGACUUAUAUUCUGUAGCAAGGUUAACCGAAUAGGGGAGCCGAAGGGAAACCGAGUCUUAACUGGGCGUUAAGUUGCAGGGUAUAGACCCGAAACCCGGUGAUCUAGCCAUGGGCAGGUUGAAGGUUGGGUAACACUAACUGGAGGACCGAACCGACUAAUGUUGAAAAAUUAGCGGAUGACUUGUGGCUGGGGGUGAAAGGCCAAUCAAACCGGGAGAUAGCUGGUUCUCCCCGAAAGCUAUUUAGGUAGCGCCUCGUGAAUUCAUCUCCGGGGGUAGAGCACUGUUUCGGCAAGGGGGUCAUCCCGACUUACCAACCCGAUGCAAACUGCGAAUACCGGAGAAUGUUAUCACGGGAGACACACGGCGGGUGCUAACGUCCGUCGUGAAGAGGGAAACAACCCAGACCGCCAGCUAAGGUCCCAAAGUCAUGGUUAAGUGGGAAACGAUGUGGGAAGGCCCAGACAGCCAGGAUGUUGGCUUAGAAGCAGCCAUCAUUUAAAGAAAGCGUAAUAGCUCACUGGUCGAGUCGGCCUGCGCGGAAGAUGUAACGGGGCUAAACCAUGCACCGAAGCUGCGGCAGCGACACUAUGUGUUGUUGGGUAGGGGAGCGU
rnacentral:rRNA from 1 species